UGAAAUAGGUUAAAAGAACAGAGAAAUGAACAUCGUCCAGAAACAUUGAUCCUACAUUGCACUUAGUGAUAAGACUCCUGGGCUGCAGAUGAGGGAACUUACCUUUGCUUCUGGUCCUGCCAGGAUGGAGCUGUGUGACUUAGAAAGCCAUUUGCCCUCUCUGGUCUUAUUGUUUCAUCUUUCAAAUUAAAUGGCUUGGGAACCCAGGUGGGAAAUUAUUAUUUUAUUGUUGUUUGAAUGCUCAGUCCCUCUCCCUGUCCUUCCGGUAGUGAGACCCUUUGCUUCCCUUGGGGACCCUUCCUCUUCCAUGCUCACUUAUUUCAGACAGGGCUGUUCCAGGAGCUUGAGAUUUGGGAUCGCCUUUUUGGAAGCAGGUGUGGGAAAAGAGGCUCCCUUAUUACAUGGAGGGAUUACUAGAAAAAUGUUGAUAUUUUAAAGGUGACUAGCAGACCAAACUAGCUAUUGCUGCAUAACAAAUUAUUAUAGACUUAGUGGCUUAAAACUACGCACCUGUGUUCUCAGGGUCUCUAAGGGCCUGGGGAGUGAUAUGGCUUGGCUGGGUUCUGAGCAUGGCCACCUUCAGCACUGCCCUAGGCUGCCAUCAGGUGGGGACCAAGCUACAGAGCCUUCGGGGAGAGCUCCGCCCUCCACUGGCUCCCUCAGGUUUGGGGAAGGAUUUAUUUACUUCUAGCUACAGGGUGGGGGCUUCGGUUUCUGCCUGGAAGCUGCUCUCAGCAACCAGUUGGCCCACAGUUCCUUGCACAUGGCCUCUCUACCACAGUGAUCAUGCUGGCAUGGUCACCUGUACUGGUGACAGGAGGUUCCUGAGCCCUGUGAAUCAUCUGUGGAGGGAUUCUGUCGUGGGGGUGUGGGAGACAGUGGGGCACCGCAGGCUGCCAUCCAAGCCGCCUCCCCCAUCUCCCCGCAGGGCCUUCCUCCCCUAGCCUGGCAGCCUGGGGAGCUGACCUUUCGUAUCCAGGGCUCAUGGGUGAUGGGAACAGCAUGGAUCUUCUACUGGACAAACCUGGACUUGGGUCCUGGCUAGUGUUUGCCCAGCAGCCGUGACCCCGUGGCCCUGGUGUUCUCAGGGUCAGUGCAGGGAGAUCGACAGCCGUCACACCCUGCGGAGAGGGUCCACAUGUGGGUAUUAAAGAGCACUUGACUGUGUUUUUUAUUCUCCUGGGAAUUGGUGUCAGUCCUCCAAUCAGAUAUGCAAGAGGUCGAUAUUUUUCUUUACUUUUAUGGUAUUGGAGUUAUUUUCUGCUUUGAGCUCUCAACCCUGGGGAGAAUAGAAACAGACUGGCUCAGUGCCUUUCCUCAGUGUAAACUCCAGGUCGAGGAGGGCUUAUGUGGGGCCAUGGAGGGCUCUAGGGCUCAUGCUCCCUGGGGUCUCCUCCACCGGUAUUCCCGGUGGCCUUUGGCCACCCAUUCUGUGUGGCUCACAGUCGGGUGAAUCCCCCGGGACUUCAAGCCCUCUUUAGGUCCAGCUAGGGACUGCUCGGAUAGAAACCCUGCCAGUCAUCCUCAGACCUUUUUGUCACCUUUGAAGCCAACAGGGAUUAAAAUAGCUUAACCUAUGGGGCUCCUGUGAAAAUUAAUUGGGUUAUUACUUAGUGCUGGGAGCACACUGAGUCCUCAAUAAAUGAGAUUUACUUUAUCGUGCUGGAGUCGGGGGACACUGUUUGCUCUUCUGCCUGGCUCUUGGUCCCUUAGGCUCUUCCCAGGAAAGGCAGGACUUGGACCCUCUAGUCUUCUCUCCAAGAUGAGGGAUACAGAGGGCAGGGCCCAUGCCCGUCAGAAUCUGCGCGCUCUUGGCUUCCGUCUUGGGAGAGGUCCAGCUCUGGGAAUCUGCAUUAGUCUGGGAGACAGUGAGAGGGCAGGAAGCCUGGCUGCUCCCCAGCAUGCGUUCUCCCGAAGAAGCAUCUCCACCGGGCUCUGGAACUCGAAGCCAAGUACCAGCUCCUUUGAGGCUUUCUGCUCUGCUGUCCCAUCAGUGAGCCACAGAUACAGGUGCACAGUGGCAGAACGUGGGAGAUGCAGGGGUCAAGGAAGUCAUGAGAAGCCCUUUGUCAAUAUUCGCAGAAGUCAAUUCCCCCUGGUUCUCCGUGACCUGAAAGAAGGGCUUAAGUGACCCACCCAGAGCUGGCUGCACUCUGUUCCUGCCCAGGAAAUGCCCAACCUGCUGAACCCGAAUCUCGAGGCUUGUCCUCAGCAGAUGGCAUUGCUGGUCAUCUGAUGACCUUUGCAAAGAUCAGCAGGCCUGGGUGUGGAGGGCCAGGGAGUCAGUCAGCUCCAGCAUCCUGAACGUGUUCCUCUGGGGAUACAAGAUGUGCAUCAUGGGCAGCGUGGUGGGUAGACUACGAAGAGAAUUCAAAUUGAAAAAGUCACAUUGAAGAGUGAUGCCAUUCUGCCACCUUGUGGUAAUUUCCUGUGGAUUUUUUUUUUCCAUGCUGUGGCCUGAAACCUAGGGGCUGCCAGGGACCACUGACUUUCUUGAAAAAGACAAAUGGUUAGUCCUGCACAAUGUUGGACUGAUGACCAUUCUAGUUUCUAUGAAGGACAGAUAAAUAGGGGGCCGAUCAUUAAGAUCAGUCUUGAAGGCCAGGUCCCAUUCUAGCUACUCGGGAGGCUGAGGCAAGAGGGUAUUAAGUUCAAGGUUGGCCCGGGGAACUUAGUGAGACCCUGUCUCAAAGUAAGAAACAAAAAGGACGGAACAUGUAGCUCAGUGGUAAAGUGUCUUUGGGUUUAAUUCCAAGUGCCCCCCACCAAAAAAAGAUUAGUCUUGGAGGUAUAUAAUGACUUCAGAUAGUCACUGAAUGAACAAUUGUUUAAUUAUUUCUCUGUAUCCAUGAAGCAGUGCUAGGCUCUGGGGGAAAAUACAAAUAUGGUCUCUGCCCUUAAUGAGCUUAAAAUAUGUGCCAGAGUAAGGACAGUUUAUACACAGACCUAAAUGAUAAGGAAAAUCCUAAGUAUGCAUCAUAAGCUCCCUGGGCAAAUGGAAGGAAGUCAGUCACAGCACUGGAACCGGAGAGCAGGCUGCUGAGGGAGAUGGCGUUGGCUCCCAGGGGUCACCAGAUACCCCAGAUGGGGAAAGGAGGCACACGAAAGGGUCACGUGGUAGAAAAACCACUGGACUCACAGCACAGGACAGCAGGACACACACUUUUCUGCUCGUGUGCGUCUACAAAGAAGUGAGCCUCCAUCCCAAAGUAUUUUAUUUAUGAAACGUGGCAUGUACCACGGAAGACACGGAAGAAGAGGAGAGUAAGGUGAUAACAGUAGGACUGUCUCCCUGGUGUUUCCUCCGGUGUCCCAUCCUGCCUUGAGGAUGGCUGCGCAGAGGGAGACGGAGGGACAAGGGUGACAGACGCUGCAGGGCACAGUGCUGCACAGGCCGCCAAAAAGUGGACCCAGGUGAGGUGUGGAUGUGAGGAAGGGACAGACCCAGAGGUGGAACUAGAGAAUUGCCAGGGGUUUAAAGAGAAAGACCUGUUCAAGGCCGUUCUGAGCGUAGACUUAUUUUAAGAUCUUCCUUUUGGGAGACGGUGGAGAAUCAUUCCCUGAGAAUCUAGGAGCACCGGCAGGUUUCUGGAGAAGGGCAUGAGUUCAUUUGGCAUAAGCUAAGUUCCGAGUCCCCGUGGAGUCUGCUGAUCUGUCCACAGGAAUCUGGAAAUUUAAAUUCAGAAAAGAAGCUGGGAACAGAGAGGGUCAUGUGGGUCAGAGGUGAUGCCAAACUGUGGGAGCAAGUGAAGAGGCCCGGGAGAGAGCAUGAAAGAGGAAACCAGAGCAGGGACAGCCCCCCAAGGAUGCUGACACCGGGGUGUUGUGGCCUGAGAAACAGACUUUGAGAUGGAGAAUUGCAACAGGAGAUGUGAGGGGGCACAUCAGGACCAAGGCCUGCAGGGAGUGAAGGGUGCCGCGGGGUGGAGGGGGAAGUUGAGCUGGGGUGUGGCUCCAGUGGAGGCCUCCGCAGAUCCCACGAGGAGCUCUGAAUCCAGGAUGGCCUUUGGGGGGAGGCUAAGGGUGCUGGACUGGCUCUGUCGGGCUCCUACCAGCCGGGUCCUGGGCCGAGUUCAUCCCCUGCCUCCUCACUCAGAGCUGUCAUUUGGAUCUUGAAGUAGCACAACGGGCAUAUUUACACCAAGGAAAUUGCCCAACAUUACAGACCUGGACUUUCUUCCCCCAGAAAACUGUCUGUUGAAAUAUUUACCAGUGUACACAUUUACAUCCCUAAUCAGGUAAGAGGACUAACAAAUCCUGGGUGUGGGCUGCCCCUGGGACGGAUGUCGCCUUGGGCAGGGGAGCCCAUCGCUGAGGACCCUGCCUGGGGAAGCAGGCCGUGGAGAGCCAGCAGAGAGCAGUUCCUGCAUCUGGGGCAGUCGGUGCCUCGGCCAUGCCAGGGGAACAGGGAGAGCACCGCUUGGCACCCACCACAGUCCACCUUGUGCCCAUCUGCUCCAGACAGUAAGCUCCUCUCUUUUGCUGGGGACCAGGGGAGUAAUGUGGAUCUUCUCUGCUACCGUCUUGAAGUGACAGCAAGAGAGCGCCAUGACCUGCAGGAGGCACAGUUCCCCCCCCCCCUUGCUGCACUAUCCCAGUGGGGCUUCCCCCAUCAGGGAUGGAACAUCCUGGUCAUCAGGCCCUUCUCAGCCUGCAGCUUCUCCUGUGGUCCAGUUACCAUCAGAACUGGGCAGGGACACUCAGAACCACCCUCACGGGCCUCCAGUGUGCAGAAAACCUGACAAGCAAGAUGUGAAGGAGCAAAGCUUCUUUUGGCUCACAGUCUCAGAAGUCCAGUCCACAGUUGGCCGACUCCAUCGUCUGGGCCCCGGUGAUGCAAAUAUCAUGGUGGGAGGAUGUGGCAGAGGAAAGCAGCUCAGGACACGGCAACCAGGAAGCAGAGAGUCCCUUCACCAGGGACAAAAUACAAGCCCCAAAGGCACAUCCCCAGUGGCCUACUUCCUCUGUCACACCCCACAGUCACUGCCCACUUAAUCCAUAUCUGUGGAUUAAUCCAUGAAUCAGGUUACACCGCUCAUCAUCUGAUCAUUUCACCUCUGAAAAUUCUGACAUUGUCUCACCUAUGAGCUUUUGGGGGAUUCCUCAUAUCUGAACCAUAACAGAGAGAAAUUAGAUGAAGAUGAAAUUGA